AGCCUUCUGUACCCUUGCUGAGAUUUCCUCACAGACCAGAUCACAAUGGUUGAUGAGACUUCCAAGAUAAGUAAAGCG
rnacentral:pre_miRNA from 1 species